CCCCUAGAUGUUCUGGGCCGCACGCGCGCUACACUGAACAGUUCAACAAGUCUUAACCUUGGCCGAUAGGUCUGGGUAAUCUUUGAACGCUGUUCGUGAUUGGGAUAGACCUUUGCAAUUAUGGGUCUUCAACGAGGAAUUCCUAGUAAACGCAAGUCAUCAGCUUGCAUUGAUUACGUCCCUGCCCUUUGUACACACCGCCCGUCGCACCUACCGAUUGAAUGGUCCGGUGAAAUCUCGGGACGGCGGCUUGGUCGCUUGCGUCCGACUGCUGAAACUUGAUUAAACCAUAUCAUUUAGAGGAAGGUAAAGUCGUANCA
rnacentral:rRNA from 1 species